rnacentral:lncRNA from 1 species
GCGUCAUCUGAUUUCAAUGAGAAACUGGCCCAGGGAGUCACACGUUCUCGGCACAGCUUCUAAAGGAAAAUUGAUGCAUCUAUAAAAUGUUGAAUCAGCACAGUCACUCGGUGAAAAAUGCAGAUUUGGAAACAAAGCAGGAAGAAGAUGCCAGAAAACCCUGGCAAGGCUCUGACCACUGCCUGCUUAGGAAUGGCCGCAGAGGGAGAGAAAUGUGUUUGCAAUUAGGACGACCCAGAGCAGGUCCGAUUACAUCUGCACGCAGCCACGCUGAAGAGAUUUCCAGAGUGAACUUAUCGUGUGGGCCUAAGUGGAUAAAAGGCAACUUAGGCUGGAGCCAUUACAAGAAAAUAAAUGGGGCCUCCCGCCUUCCACUCUCGAGCUGCCCUUGUUGGGCUCACUCUUACCUCUUGAAUUAAGAGGUACAAAAUCACCAUGAUUUGGGGCCCUCUUACAUUAUAGUUUACAAGAUUUUCAUGCAUUUUUCAGCAAUGGACCAAAAAAAGGGGAAAUAAAACAAGUGUUGUGAAGUGGUUUCCAUGCUGCAUGCUGACUCUGAUUUUCGGAAUGACCUGUGGAUGUUAAAGAGAUUGCAGCAAGACCCUGAAGCAGCCCAGUGGUUAUCCCACCUCUCUCCUUCCGGGGACAGUACUCACAUUUUGCUUCCAGGCUCUUAACACACCCACCAUUGACUCUCUCCAAUAAUCCCUGGCAAGACAAUUAGCUUAACCCACUUUUAAAGACAAAGCAAGGAGUUCUUGGUAAAGAAUUACAGAAAUUAAGGUUUCUCUCCCUUGCCACAAUGUUCUAACACAAAAAUGCUUCCAUCAAACUAGCUGCCACUCCCUUGAUUAAAG